rnacentral:tRNA from 1 species
GCCUCCGUCGUCUAACUGGUUAAGACCCACGACUUAUACUCGUGAAGCUCUAGAUGUGAGCGCAAUAUUGGUUCGAAUCCAAUCGGAGGUA